rnacentral:rRNA from 1 species
UACGAAGGGGGCUAGCGUUGCUCGGAAUUACUGGGCGUAAAGCGCACGUAGGCGGCUUUGCAAGUUAGAGGUGAAAGCCCAGGGCUUAACCCUGGAAUUGCCUUUAAAACUGCAUCGCUAGAAUUGUGGAGAGGUAAGUGGAAUUCCGAGUGUAGAGGUGAAAUUCGUAGAUAUUCGGAAGAACACCAGUGGCGAAGGCGACUUACUGGACACAUAUUGACGCUGAGGUGCGAAAGCGUGGGGAGCAAAAGGG